ensembl:lncRNA
ACCAGAGGGCUGAAGAACAGAAAGAAAGGAAAAGAUGCUUGGCUGGGAGACAGAAGAACAGGCCACUGGGAGGAGAGAAAGAAAAGAAUGUAAGAGCAGGAAACCGUUGGAAAAAAAAGGAGGAGGGAACGGGAGUGAGUGAAGUGAGCAGAAAAGUGGGAGGAAUGGAUUCAUGAGCGUCAGGCAGAAAUGAGCAACAAACAGAGGUUCUGGGAACAGCGAAGUGCAUACAGUUGUUUGGCUUUGAAACGUGGCUCGGGCCAUCUGUGAAAGUACUGCUGCUUGAUAGCACUGCUGAUCUGAAAACCUGGGAUUCUGUGGCAGAUGCUCUCAGUAGAAGCUGCUACGUCUUUGAAGAGAGAUUUCCUGUGCCCUUCCUCAGAUGUCUGUGAUACUACCAAGAGGAACUGUCUUUCUGUAAGUGGAACUCUUCUUUGAAUAGCACAUUCAUAAUAUGAAUUAAUUGAAAACACUCAUAGUAGUGUGUGUGUUUGUAGAGAAGUCUGAACAGAAUUUAGUAUGCAAAAUAAUUUGUCUUAUAUUCUGAUGGUCUUAACCUCAAAUUUUGUAUGAUUUUUCAUGGCUCAUAAUUGAGAAUAAUGAUGCUCAGGGGAAACUCCUUUUAUUUUUUUUUGCUUUGGACGUUUGAAAUGCAUAGUAAACUUCUAUUCUUAGCUUAGACAGUGAUAAUAAAAGCAGUACGUGUCUCUGUCAACAUUAGUGAAAAAUAAGUCUCUGGGGAUUUCUGAAUGUUUUAUUUAAUGAUGAGAACAGUAAAUCUGUCCUGUGUGGUGUCUGAGUGAGCUGACUUAUAUCAAAACAUCAUUAUUUCAUUUUUAUACUUUACAGCAGUGUUUUCUGAAUAAGUACUGGAAUGAAAGCCAAAAGCUCCCCUCUAGAUUGCAAGAAUCGUAUUGUAGGGAUUCUUAAGGGAUUGAUUUAUAUUUUUUGGUUUAGCAAUUUUGAAGAGGAGGAAGAGGGAGAGCCUUGAUCUGCUUGCUUAGCUUGGUUUGGCAGUUUAAUCAUGGUAGUGCAGCCAUCAAACCUGUGCACUUAUCUGGGUGAUUGAAGAUGAGCACCCCGUGAGAUCUUGAUUUGCAUCUAUACCCUUAAUUACUAUCAGAUUGCAGAAGUAAGGACUUACUAGAAUUACUGAAGAGUAGUGCAUUUGUUUCUUCAGAAAUACGGAUUUUUAUGCUCCGGACUCUUAAUUUUAACUUAGUUGAGCCAUGAGGCUUUUUUAUAUACGUGUUGUAUUUGGCAUUUUUUCUUCAAACUUGGAAAGUGUACACACAUCCCUGAAGUCUUUAGGAUAAUAAUGAACUUUGUUGGAAGUCUCUGAAUGUGAAUUACAGCGGGUAGCUUUACGUUACAGCUAAACAGUACUGUGGAAGAUGGGUGUCUUGCUCCUGCUCCUUCCCUCCUUUGCUCUGGCACUUACCUGAGCCUAAGCUGAUGUGUCACAUCAGCAAAAAGAGGCUGUUUCGGUUUUUGUUAGGAGGUAGUUUUCUACUGUUUUGGAAGCUGAAUGUAUUUGUAAUGCAAGGAAAUAAGCGUGGGCCUGGAAAAUUGAAGAAUGGAGCAGGGGCAGGGAGAAGAAUUAAUUUCCUUUCUUUUGAGCCUUUAAAUUUCUCCUUUCUGGAAGCCAGAGAAAUGCAUCUGCUGGAUGCAGCAGGAGAUGAGAAGGGCCAACAUUUGGAAGCAGAGUGUUGGUUUAGGCAUAGCAUGAAGAACAGCUACUCUGGGAGUUGCAAGGAUUGGGAUGGAAAAGGCAGAGAGGUAUGGAAGGCUGCUUGGCUCAUGAAGUCUGAGAGGGGGACUGCAUGGCCCAGGUGACAGCUGCUUGGGGCAAGCCAGGAACGGCCCCACAGUUCCCCAUCCCCUGCAUGAGGGAAGCAGCAGGAAGGCAGUUUCAAGGGAGGGAGGCUUAGGAACUGCUGUGGUGAUCAGUCAGUUUGCGGAGUAUUCGAACCGGGAAAACAAAUGGGCUGCCUGUACUAACUGUUCUCUCCUGAGAGGGAACAGUGCUGUGGUUAUAAAUGCAAGCGUAGGGAUCUAGUAGUCACAGCAGUGGUACCAAAAAGUAACAGUUGUGAAUGCUAUUACUUUUUACAGAACUCAGAUUUUAAAAUUAUCAGCGGUUUUUGGUAUACAGAAUUAGUGGCAAGUAUGGAUGGAUUAGUAUGUGAGCCUUUUAAUGCUAAAAACAGAAACUAAUGAGAUUACUGGAUCCUAUGUCACAAACCAUGGACUUUUCUCUCCCCUCCAGGAAGGAAAAAAAAAAAAAGGAAAACAACCCCCCCCCCCCUCCACUAUCUCUUAUUUGUCAUUAGGGACAAAAAAAAAAGUCAAAGCCUUACUUAUUGGUCUGAUUGCUGAUACUUAAAGUAAUUUCGUAAAUUGGGA